rnacentral:lncRNA from 1 species
UCGUGAUCCACCCGCUUCAGCCUCCCAAAGUGCUGGAAUUACAAGCGUGAGCCACUGCGCCUGGCUGUAUUUCUAGAACAGCAGGAACAAAGGCAUGGAAUUAAGGGAGGUGAGUAAUCUUGGUCAGAAUCAUAUCAUAGUAGGACAAUAUGAGAUGAAAUUUGAGGGAGGCUCAAGUGGAUUAGCUUUUUAUUUCCUAAAGGUGAAGGGGCCAGGAUCAGGUUCCAGACUUGAGGAAUGGAAAAUAUUUGGAAUAGGCCCUCAGAGUUAGGGCCGAAAGAAUCCAAGUGAAGGCGAGUUUAGUUUUUGCGUUCUUAGUCUGUUUCUCUAAUGUGGGCACACUACAUUAGAAAAAAAGUGGGAGGGGUAGUCCAGAUAUGACAGAAGGAUAAACGGUGAAGGAAUCAAGAAUACAAAUGAGAAUGUCUUUAAAGUUGCUAAACACAGAUUCCAGGAUGUACAGGAAGACAAAGGAGACAGGUUAAUUAGGGAGUGGGAUAGGGCUGAGGGACCAAAGCCUCCUAAGUAAGUGAUGCCCAAAGGUAGUUUCCAGAAAGAGGAAAGGGAGUUUGUCAUCUGAGAGAGGGACUCUUGAUUUGGUUGAUUAGAAGAACCAAACAACGAUUAGCCCUAGGCUUCCUCCAUGGAAAUUCCCUAAAGAAAAGUCUUGCUAUUCAGAGUGUUAUUAAGUCCCAGGGUCUUCAUUGCCACUAAUAGAUCUUUUUGGAGGGACUGAUAUCAGAUAUUUCCCUAUUCUUAGGAGGAGAUGGCUGUUCAGGGAAGGCCAGAUGUUAACAGAAGAAACAGAAGGAUAUUAAACAUGCCAUUAAGCUGGUGACUGGAAAAGAAAAAAAAAGUUAAACAUUGCCACAAAAUCCUUUGGUUUCAGUGUUAAAACUAAAUAAACCUCUAUGGAGGCAGCAAGAUGUUAAAUGGGGCAAGAGGGUCAUAGACCAGUUUUCAUCCUUAGGUAAUUUUCAUUUAUUUGAAAUACCCACACUUUGGGCAUUGUGGUAAAUUCCAGAAGGGCACUUGUCUUGGUCUUUAAAUUUGGUUGAAUACAGUACUUGAGGUAUUGGUUGGAUUUUUGAAAGGUAGCCUCAUUUAUUGAAAGGCUGGCAACGAUAAAUAGGCUCACGAUUCAAAAUGGAGCGAUACAGACUUACAUUGCUUGUCCAUGGUUCUGUGAUGAUAAAUCUGUAUGUGGGACUAUGAAGCUAUUAGAAAUGUUCAGUUUAAGUGUUUGACAUAUUGAUAUGCUGACAGAAAAAACGGUAUGCCAAUUUUUAUGUAAUGAUCUAUGCUCUGUAGAGUGGAAUACAUAGAAAAGAUUUGUCAGAAGUAAGCCAAUAACCGUGAUCGCCUCUGGGUGGGUAAAUUACAGGUGUCCCCUCUCCAGGUACCCUCCCUUCCCCCCAUUCCUUACACUUCUUAGUCCUCACAUUAUCUUGAUAAGUUUGGGAAAAAAAUAGAUAAAACCCGUGAGGUUUUUAAGAAUCAGAAACAAUUUGAGCUCAAAUCAAUUAGUGGUCACCCCUGUAUACCUUUUAAAUAAACCCCUCUAAUAGUUGACAGUAGUGGCUUCUGGCUCACUGGGUAUCACAGAAAACUUUAGCUUAACUUAGUUUAAACAUUAGGAACACAAAAUUAGGUGACUAUGAGAAUUUUCCAGUUGACCAAAAUUUUUUCAACUGACUUGAAAAAUCCAGCCACCUGCUAAAGGUUGGAAAGACAUGACUGGAAUACUUAGCUGGACUCCUAACUCAGGUUGCAUACAGGAAAGCAGACUACAGUGGCCCAGGGAUGAGCAGCAAUUUUCUAGGACUAAGUAAUUUCUGGAGCUUGUACAUUUAGAACACAUUUACAACAAUUUGUCAUGGGACUCAAUCUAAAGGGGCUAAAUUGCUACUUUUAUUUAUCCUCUGGGAGGGAAUGUGAGAAAUAAUGGAUCAAGUCACAUGAUACCAAUUCAACAGAUAUGCCAAAUCCUUAAUGUUCUAGAAUGGGUUUCUGAAAUCCUAUGAUUUCAUUGGUUUUAGAAAGCUUUGAUUCGAAGAAUCUUUUGGUGUACAAGUUAAUUCAGCUGUAAGUUAGUUUUGAACAUGUAAAUUUCUUCCAACAUAAUAUAUUGUUUGCUUAGUGGGCAAUUCAUUCUGCAAGAAAAUGAACGCAGAAAACUGCACCUCUUGAACCAAGCUGCAGGGAAACACAUAAAGCACAUACACACACCUCCAAUAGAUACCAGCUAACUUCUUUCAGUGACAUUGAACUACACCCAUCCAUACUCCCUUUCCCUCUGAUUCUAGAUAGCCCACCUUCCAGAUAACCCACCUUCUUUUCCCUCUAUUCCAGAUAGCCCUUCAUUUCACAGGAAGUCAAAUCACAAACCACAACCCUUCUGAGGCCCAUUUCAAGUCGUCUUCAAGAUAACACCAUACCACCGUCUGGAGGGAGCUGACAUACUCAGACAUACUCCUGAGGCGCAUCAGACCCAACCAAAAGGAUGGAGAGAAAAAGGCCAGAGGAACUGCUCCAGUGAUUAGGGAGUAAUCAGCAAUCAAUCAACUCCCCAGCCUUCCAAAAAGCUUACAAAUGUCAUUAAGGAUGUAAGCAUUAUGGUCCUCUCUCUUCACCCCAGAUUUACAAGGAAUUAAUUAGGUCAGCAGCAUGGAAUUCAGACUAUGGAUACAAUAUUCUUCAGACUACGGAUAGAAUACUGUCAUUAAGGUGGGUUUGCACUGAAACAAGCCACAUUACCUGGCUUUAUCUUCGUUAGCUUCAGCUAUUCAGAAUAAGUUGUAAAUAUGGUUAAAAGGUGGCUCAUGCAAGAGCAAGAGAAGCAAAAGGUUUUGAGGAAAAACAAUCACCACAGACUUUGGGAUCCUGGCAGGCUUUAGGGGACCAGCAGGUGGUACUCUACUCCAGAAUUAACACCUUGGCUUUCACUUAAUUUUACAUCAAAAUUAAAUCAGAUGGAACAUAUGAAAGCAUUAGACAAAAGCCACUUUAUCAGCUGAGGCACAUUUGGAAAAAUGGUAUUUAAAAAAGUCAAAAGCUCACCAAAGAAGGUUCACAAAAUCAUCUGAAAUAUUCCUCAGGCCAAUUUUUCUUUCUAGCCAAGUAGUCAUUAUCCAUCCCAUGAUAAGUAUAGGUAAUUAAUGUGAAAUGCCACAUGUAGGUAAUUCACAUGAAAUGUAAUUGCUCACAUUCCUGGCUGAACCUUGCCUGAAGUGGAGGGUGUUGUAACAGAUUACAUGGAGCUAAACGAUGGUGACAUAAGGAAAAACAGUAUAAACUAAGCAACUUGCAAGGUGUCACAACUUGGACUCCCACUUUUUUCUUUUAAGCUGAAUGCUUUCAGUUGAGAAGAAAGGCUAUCCUCUCAAUAUCCUGCAGGUGUCAGUGGAGAGCUACAUCUUUCCAGUAACUUAAAGGGUUGGGAAUAUGUCAGCCUUAACCAACCGACAAUAGCAGCCAGCUAUUAAAACCAAGACUUCAAAUUAAUUAAAAUAACUUUCUAAGGUCAUACAGUAAGUGGCAGAACUCAUAUUUAUACCCAGGAUGACUGACUUCGGGCUCUUCUCUGCCCCCAGUGUCAUGCUUGUCAACAGAGGGAGUACUCUGGAAAAAGUCAAUUUUUGAUAAAGUCCUUUUAAUGGAAAAUGUAAAACCCCUUUCAACUUUAAUGUACAAAGCCAUAUGUAACACUUGCACUUUAACAAAAGCAAGCCAAUGUUUUAAAAAAAUACAUCAUUAAAUGUAUAUAUGUAUAUAUUUACAUAGCAUAUUAAGUUUAAUAUUUAGCUUUAAAAGUUCACAUAAAUUUUACCAAAAUGAGACAAUUUUAAAUAAAUUACACCUUUUGAAAAUGUUUAAUUGUACAGUCAAUAGCUUCAACAAAAUAUUGAAGUGUCUGUAUUUAGUAUCUACUUUAUAUACUUUAUACUUUACAAAUUUUACAAUUAUUUGGCAGUAAUUUUCU